rnacentral:misc_RNA from 1 species
ACUCUUCAACCCACCGGUUUCUUGUGAACUGCUGUGGUGUUUGGAUUUUGAAUGUUGCUAUGUACUUAGCUCGUUCGUAAUGCAUUAGCAUCUCAAUUUCGUAAUCGGAUUGACUCAGCGUAAUAGACUAUUCGCUGAGGACACUCUCAGAGUGGCCGAGACAUGAAGAGUUAGAAGCUUCCAGCCCAUCUAGUCAUUUUUAAG